rnacentral:rRNA from 1 species
GAGGGGAGCUAGCGUUGUUCGGAAUUACUGGGCGUAAAGCGCGCGUAGGCGGCUUUUUAAGUCAGAGGUGAAAGCCCGGGGCUCAACCCCGGAAUAGCCUUUGAAACUGGAAAGCUAGAAUCUUGGAGAGGUCAGUGGAAUUCCGAGUGUAGAGGUGAAAUUCGUAGAUAUUCGGAAGAACACCAGUGGAGAAGGCGACUGACUGGACAAGUAUUGACGCUGAGGUGCGAAAGCGUGGGGAGCAAA